GGGUUGUGAGGUUAAGCGACUAAGCGUACACGGUGGAUGCCCUGGCAGUCAGAGGCGAUGAAGGACGUGCUAAUCUGCGAUAAGCGUCGGUAAGGUGAUAUGAACCGUUAUAACCGGCGAUUUCCGAAUGGGGAAACCCAGUGUGAUUCGUCACACUAUCAUUACGUGAAUACAUAGCGUAAUGAAGCGAACCGGGGGAACUGAAACAUCUAAGUACCCCGAGGAAAAGAAAUCAACCGAGAUUCCCCCAGUAGCGGCGAGCGAACGGGGAGGAGCCCAGAGCCUGAAUCAGCAUGUGUGUUAGUGGAAGCGUCUGGAAAGUCGCGCGAUACAGGGUGACAGCCCCGUACACAAAAGCGCAUGUGCUGUGAGCUCGAUGAGUAGGGCGGGACACGUGGUAUCCUGUCUGAAUAUGGGGGGACCAUCCUCCAAGGCUAAAUACUCCUGACUGACCGAUAGU
rnacentral:rRNA from 1 species